UACAGAGGUCUCAAGCGUUUGUUCGGAUUCAUUGGGCGUAAAGGGUGCGUAGGCGGCGCGGUAAGUCGGGUGUGAAAUUUCGAGGCUUAACUUCGAAACUGCAUUCGAUACUGCCGUGCUUGAGGACUGGAGAGGAGACUGGAAUUUACGGUGUAGCGGUGAAAUGCGUAGAUAUCGUAAGGAAGACCAGUGGCGAAGGCGGGUCUCUGGACAGUUCCUGACGCUGAGACGCGAAAGCGUGGGGAGCGAACAGG
rnacentral:rRNA from 1 species